rnacentral:rRNA from 1 species
UGGUGGAGCGAUUUGUCUGGUUUAUUCCGAUAACGAACGAGACUCUGGCCUACUAAAUAGUGGGUGGAUUCUUUUUGUCCAUGAUACUUCUUAGAGGGACAAGCGGUGUUCAGCCGCACGAGAUUGAGCAAUAACA